GAAAUUGUAACUUAAGUAGGUAAAGUGUUAACCUGUCACGUUAAUUAUUGCGGGUUCAAUUCCCGUCUUUUUCGA
rnacentral:tRNA from 1 species